UAAUAAACCUGGACUUGAUGUACUAUCUGCUCAACUAGGAUAUUGUGCUGUGUAUUUUGUAUUAAGGAGGAUCCAUCAGCUCACUAACACGGGUGAUGGACAGGGACCAAAGAGGAGGCUCUACAACAUGAGGACAGACUGCGAUCCUCAAGUAGUCAGUCCAUGAGCCCACGUCUUCAGGCCAGGGACCUGAGAGGAAUUUCCAGUGACAUGGAUCAACAGAGAUCCUCAAACAGUCAGUCCAUGUGCCACGUUCCAGCCAGGGACCAAAAGGGGGGCUUUCGUCAUAGGGCCAGACAGACAUCCUCAAGCAAGAAAUAGAGAGAUGCAUCCAGGCCACCCACUAGGAGGUGGAACAUCUUACGAAGAGGUGGCUGUACCUGGCAGCAGACUGAGAUGGGGUGAGGAAGAGGAGAAGCACAGACCAAGAACGGAAUGUCAGACAUUUGCCCUUUUUAUGCCCAGCGCGUGCACACACACACACACACUGGCAUAUAAACAUGCACAAAGACACAGGCGCACGUGCACACACAUACACGCACUCUCAAACAAGAUGGGAGUCACUGGUGAUGUUGGCAAAUAAUCUGAAUCGGUACACACUGCAAUGAUUCCACCAUCAUGCCCCACCUACGCAAGUCCUGUCCUUCAGCAUUGACUUACUCCCCAGGUGUGGUGUGCCUUCAUCCGAACCACAAUGGCAUCCCAAGCAGCAACAAACACCUGCACACAUGCAUGCUACAGUACACACACAAACACACUGGACUAUGAACUAGGUCAGACACACACACACACACACACACACACACACACGCUCAAAGUAGCCAAGAUCGAAAAGGCUGCAUCAGUGGCUUGACUUCAUCCAUUUUUUGGAGGAACACCUUUGUCAAUUUUGAGGAACUUUGUUGUGGGAAGAUAUUUUAAAAUUUGAUAGUCAGUCUUGUAUACCCAUUCGCUUCACUAUGAUGUAUUUUGUAAUUGAAUAUGGAUGAUUUAUGCCACAGUGCUGAAUUAACACAUCUAGACAAAGAUGUCACCUUAAAAAGUAUGUUUGGUACCUGUGGGUCAAAUGUCUCAGGAGCUCCCUGACUGCAGAACGUCUCAGGAAAGGACUCAACUUUUUAUAUUGUAUGCAGGGUGCGAUUUGUCAGAAAACCAGAAGGGGGAUGUGUUUCAGAUGUCAAGCAAUAUCAAUGGAGUUACAUUAAACUAUGAUUAAAAUCAUGUGGAAAAAGUGACAAUAUCAAAACCAGAAGAGGGGACAAUCCCCCCAUCCCCCCCUACAAACCGCACCCUGACUGUAUGUAUUUGACAUGUUUGUCUAUAUGAUUAACACAUGAAGAGUUCAGAUGCAAAACCCCCCCAAGUGCCUUUUCAGAAAAUAAUAUUAAUUCAUUUUUAUUCAAUACAAAGCUAUCAAAAUUGCAUAUUUUUUAAAUUUUAUUUAUGUAAUGUAACUAUUUAUAUGUAUUAUCAAGUACAUGAAUGUUAACCAAACCAACAACAGGGUUUUCUAAAAAUAUAGAAGUGCAGGUCUUCUGAAAUGGAGUUAGGGGGGUUUUGCAUCUGAACUCUUCACAUGUUCAUAGAAGAAAAUACAAUGUACGACCUCAAGGUCUUGUGCGUUUUUCUCACCGAUAUCUUCUAACCGAUAUCUAAGGUUUAUGAGUUACAAAAUGUUUAUUUUGUUUGUUUUCUGAAAGUUUUUUUUAAAAACUCAGAGGGAUAUGUUAAGAAAGGUGUUAAUCAUUUGGUUUGUUUUUUGGAAAAUUCCAUUUAAAACAUAGGCUGUGAGUUUAAAAAAAAAGGUAUUUUGAUAAUUUUGUUUUCUUUUCUGAAAAUUCUACUUUAAAAUGUCAUACAUUUUCAAUUUCCAAAAUCUAUUGAAUGAAUGAAUGUUGUUGUAGCCUACUAAAGAUAAUAAAUGGCCAAUUUGCAUGAUUUUUUGUGGGUUUUAUUCUUUAUUGUUAUUAUUAUUAUUAUUGUGAAGGUUAAAUAUAUUCCGGCAUAUUUAUGGGUUUUAAUCGGCAGGGUUCUGGCAAUCUUGUGGUAGGCUCAUGGGCCAUUUCUGGGUCUUCUGGUAAACAUCUGGUAAGGUGCCGGCACUCUGUCGAACGUUCUUGGCAUUCUACUGGCUGCUUUCUGGCAUGAUUCCGG